rnacentral:lncRNA from 1 species
CUCCUACUCUGCCUUUUUUCUACUAAGAAAAUCCAUAUUUAAAAUGUUCAUCUUACUUGAAAGGCAGAUGCUGACAGGGAAAUAAAAAGACAUUUUGCUUCAGGUACAUAUAAAGCUUUACAGCUUCACUUCCAAAAGGACUCUCCAUGACUGAGCUUCCCAAGUUACGUGCCUCAUUCCCUCCUCCCAGCAGUGCACCCUAAAUAAUUUGAGUCUUGACUAUUAGAAAUCAUCAUGUGAAGCCCACUGAAUGGACAGGAAGAUUUCCAGUGAUUCAUCUGAUUUCAAUUAUGCCCCUAAAAGCACUCCUGCCCUUUCUUCCUGCUUGUAAUAGCUGGAGAAGUUAUUGGAGAAGUGGGGCUCUGGAUGGUCUGCCACUGAUUUCUGAGGACUUGGAUCAAUGCUCUUUGACUCAGUUUCCCUGUCUGUAAACAAGACCUUUAAUAUGGGCAAGGAGUCUCCAGGGUAUGGAAGGUUUUACCUGAGAUGGAAGCUGCUGCUCCCUGGUAACACCCCAACUGCUGGCAAUGAUGGUAGAGCUGAACUGCAGAUGUGAAAUACAGCUGUCAUUGCUGAUUUCCAUGUCAUCCCACCUCCAGAGCCUCAGGAACUCACCUUCAGUGGCAUGAGAGGUGCAGAAAAGGCUUUGCUGGUCCCUGGUGUCCUGUGCCCCACCCUCUGGCAGCUCAUCACUUCAGUGCACCUGGUCAGCAUCAGGAGAAGACUGUACUCCUGCAAGACAAAGCUUUCAGCACCUUAAACCUUCUGGUUUUGCCAGUGACUACAGUGGCCAAGCCAGCCUGAGAAUGUCACUGGCCAAGUUCAUGCCUGAAAGGAACCUGCUGGUGGCUUUGCAGGAUAUUUGGGACUGCUGCCCCACAGAAGAUGUAUCUGAAGGGGAAUACACUAUUUGUGGGGGUCAGUUGGCAGUCACAGCCAGCAGAUUUAUCUUCAGCUAGGACAUGACACCAUCAGAUCCUGUGGACACCAACAGUCAGCAUCCCCAUGAGUUACACAUGGAGCCCAAGUUGAAACACUGGGC